rnacentral:rRNA from 1 species
AUGCGUCAAGUACAAGAGCUUCUCGACAAAGGUUAUAUACGCGAAUCCCUUAGUCCUUGUGCUGUUCCUAUUAUUCUAGUGCCGAAAAAGGAUGGUACAUCACGUAUGUGUGUUGAUUGUAGAGGCAUUAAUAAUAUUACUAUUCGUUAUCGUCAUCCUAUUCCUAGGCUAGAUGAUAUGCUUGAUGAAUUGAGUGGCUCUACAAUAUUCUCCAAAGUUGAUUUGCGUAGUGGAUACCAUCAAAUUCGUAUGAAAUUGGGAGAUGAAUGGAAAACAGCAUUUAAAACUAAGUUUGGAUUAUAUGAGUGGUUAGUCAUGCCUUUUGGGUUAACUAAUGCGCCUAGUACUUUCAUGAGACUAAUGAACAAAGUUUUACGUGCUUUCAUUGGACGAUUUGUGGUAGUCUAUUUUGAUGAUAUACUGAUUUAUAGCAGAUCUUUGGAAGAACAUUUGGAACAUUUACGUGCUGUUUUUAUUGCUCUACGUGAUGCACGUUUGUUUGGUAACCUUGGGAAGUGCACCUUUUGCACCGACCGAGUAUCUUUUCUUGGCUAUGUUGUUACUCCACAGGGAAUUGAAGUUGAUAAAGCCAAGAUUGAAGCUAUUGAGAGUUGGCCGCAACCCAAAACGGUCACACAAGUGAGGAGUUUUCUUGGCCUCGCUGGAUUCUAUAGGCGUUUUGUGAGAGAUUUCAGAACCAUUGCUGCACCUCUCAAUGAGCUUACAAAGAAAGAUGUGCCUUUUCUUUGGGGUACCGCACAGGAAGAAGCCUUCACGGUAUUGAAAGAUAAGUUGACACAUGCUCCUUUACUCCAACUUCCUGAUUUUAAUAAGACUUUUGAGCUUGAAUGUGAUGCUAGUGGAAUUGGAUUAGGAGGUGUGUUAUUACAAGAUGGCAAACCUGUUGCAUACUUUUCUGAAAAAUUGAGUGGGCCUAGUCUGAAUUAUUCUACUUAUGAUAAAGAAUUAUAUGCUCUUGUUCGGACUUUAGAAACAUGGCAACAUUAUUUAUGGCCCAAAGAAUUUGUUAUACAUUCUGAUCAUGAAUCAUUGAAACAUAUUAAAAGUCAAGCUAAACUGAAUCGUAGACAUGCUAAAUGGGUUGAAUUCAUUGAGACUUUCCCUUAUGUCAUUAAACACAAGAAGGGAAAAGAAAAUGUUAUUGCUGAUGCUUUGUCUCGUCGCUAUACUAUGCUUUCACAACUUGACUUCAAAAUAUUUGGUUUGGAGACCAUCAAAGAUCAAUAUGUGCAUGAUGCUGAUUUUAAAGAUGUAAUGCAUAAUUGUAAAGAAGGACGAAUGUGGAACAAGUUUGUUGUUAACGAUGGAUUUGUGUUUCGUGCUAACAAGCUAUGCAUUCCAGCUAGCUCCGUUCGUCUUUUGUUGUUGCAGGAGGCGCAUGGAGGAGGAUUAAUGGGACACUUUGGCGUGAAGAAGACGGAGGACGUACUUGCUACACAUUUCUUUUGGCCAAAGAUGAGACGGGAUGUUGAGCGUUUUGUUGCUCGCUGCACUACAUGUCAAAAAGCUAAGUCACGCCUCAAUCCUCAUGGUUUAUAUAUGCCUUUGCCUGUACCUAGUGUUCCUUGGGAGGAUGUAUCUAUGGACUUUGUUUUAGGUUUACCUCGAACAAAGAAGGGGAGGGAUAGCAUAUUUGUUGUCGUGGAUAGAUUCUCGAAAAUGGCACACUUUAUACCAUGUCAUAAAAGCGAUGAUGCUGUUAAUGUUGCUGAUUUGUUCUUUCGUGAAAUUAUUCGCUUGCAUGGUGUGCCAAAUACUAUUGUUUCAGAUCGUGAUACUAAAUUUCUUAGCCACUUUUGGAGAUGUUUAUGGGCUAAGUUGGGGACUAAACUGCUUUUUAGUACUACUUGUCACCCCCAAACUGAUGGACAAACUGAAGUAGUCAAUAGAACGUUGUCUACUAUGCUUAGGGCUGUUUUGAAGAAUAAUAAGAAAAUGUGGGAGGAAUGCUUGCCUCAUAUUGAAUUUGCUUAUAAUCGUUCAUUGCAUUCUACCACUAAGAUGUGCCCUUUUGAAGUUGUGUAUGGUUUCCUACCUCGUGCACCUAUUGAUUUGUUGCCUCUUCCAUCUUCGGAGAAGGUUAAUUUUGAUGCUAAACAACGUGCUGAAUUGAUUUUAAAAAUGCAUGAGUUAACUAAGGAAAACAUUGAGCGUAUGAAUGCUAAAUAUAAACUUGCUGGAGAUAAGGGUAGAAAACAUGUUGUGUUUGCACCUGGAGAUCUUGUUUGGUUACAUUUGCGUAAGGAUAGAUUUCCUGAUUUGCGCAAAUCAAAGCUAAUGCCACGUGCUGAUGGUCCCUUUAAGGUGUUAGAGAAAAUAAAUGAUAAUGCAUAUAAACUUGAGCUGCCUGCAGAUUUUAGGGUUAGUCCCACUUUUAACAUUGCAGAUUUGAAGCCUUAUUUGGGUACUUUCGUUUCUUGGUAA